UGAGUAGGCGGUAAUAUGUGUCAGAUGUAAAAGGCUAUGGCUUAACCAUAGUUGGCAUUUGAAACUGUAUUACUUGAGUGCAGGAGAGGUAAGUGGAAUUCCUAGUGUAGAGGUGAAAUGCGUAGAUAUUAGGAGGAACACCAGUGGCGAAGGCGACUUACUGGACUGUAACUGACGCUGAGUCACGAAAGCGUGGGUAGCAAACA
rnacentral:rRNA from 1 species